UCUCCAUGGAUGUAAACCAGAGUGACAAACCAGGUGGAAGAGGAUGAGGGAAUCUGAUCCUGUUCAGACUUGGGGAUCUCCAGGAUCUGGUUAUGAUGCUUGGAUUUGUUUCUCGCCUACCAGGAUCUGGAUCUAAGGAAAAAAACAUAUGCAUUCUGAGGAUGGAAAGUGUGUAAUGGCUUAAGAAUGCUACCUAAGAGAGAAAAAUUCACCAUAACUAACACCUGCAGGGGUGUAGUGUUUUUACACGGAACUUCUUUGGCGCCACACAUCAAAUCUUCCAGGACAGCAGCGGCAGGGUGCCCCCGGGCCGCCCACUGACUCACCCUGAUGUGCAGGUCCUGGAAGAAGAUGAGGAGCGUCUGCCGGAUCAGCUGGAACUCCCCCGCAGAGAGACCCCCAAUCUGCCUGUUCUUAACAGAGGAAUGAGAACGAGUAUUGGGGCUGAGAGGUGAUAAACUGACGAUACGCUUACUUCAGUCAGCUGCUGGAAAGUCUCAUCCACUUGAUGCAGGAUGGUUGGGGAGUCUUGGAUGAAUCCCUUGAUGGCAUCCAAAUGAUUGAAAGUGACCAGCAACACAUCCUUGGGACGAGGACACAGCAAUACUUGAUAUUUGAAAGCCAUUGUCAUCAGGUCAUAGAGCUGCCAACCCAUACAUGAAUAAAAGAAAUAGGACCAUAAAGGCAGACAUCAGAACCUCAAACAAUGAUUCAGUCGGCACUUACCGGAAACCAAUUCUGGGCUUAUCAUGCAGCUCAGUGACCAUAUCUAGUCAUCACUCAAACCAAGACACUGUUGAGAGUAAAAGGGGGUGAUAGUAAUAAUUAAGCUGGGACAAAAGGAGUAAACCAGGAUAUUCCUGGGCAAACCAGGAUUUCUGGCCAGCUUACAUGUAUUGUUGAUGGAAUACACAUGAAACAGUACGGGCAGCUGGGGGGCCCUGGACAGGGUGCUGGAUGUGGAGAAUGAAAACUCAAAUUCAAGCCCUCCUUGCUGCUGACUUGUUGGAUGGCCCUGGCCAAGUCUCUUCGCCUCUCUGAGCCUGAGUUUUUUCAUGCGUAAAAAAUAUUCCUGGGACUCCCCUGGU